UGUGAGAAGAGUCAGGGGGCGGUGAGCCUUCCCUACCAGCCUGCCCCCUCUCAAACCACAUUCUGUAAAGUGGAGUGCAGGUGGCAGAAGUGCAUGUAACAGGUGAUGUCCCAUGUGAGGACACAGCCAGUCUGCCAGGAGAGUGGGGACUGACACAACAUCACUUAUACAUCAGCUGUAUAAAAAUACGGUGAGUGAGAAGAGCUGCCAGAAUGGCACAAAGAGCCAACCAAAAAUCCAGAUUCGCCUUUUUAAAUACCCCUUAUAAAUAGAAAAUGGUACUGAAGAAAUGAGAGGAUAUCUUUCAUUGGAAGAAAACCUCAUCGUCAAGGUAUGGAUUCUCCUUUUACCUAAACAGGGAGUAAAGUAUAUACAGCAGGCAUUUUUAGCCUUGCUAGCGUGGUCUAGGAACCACAGACUGAAUGUUACAAAGCCCUGGAAAAUAGUUUUGGAUUUUCUGGGGUGGUUGGAAGCCCAGUACAGUGAAAGGAUGGCAAUAGAAAUGCUGUGUGAACAUCCACCCACCAGUGUGCCUGCCAAAGACACGGAGCGAAGCAGAGCAGCAAGUGAAAAACUGAGGGGGAAGUGGCUGUUAUUCAACGGAGCUCCCAUGCCAGCACUGACAGUGACUGCAUGACACACAAGUUUGUCCAUGCUGCGGCCACCUGAGCUACCGCCACCGGGUGCAUCCUCAGAAUUCCUGGGGCCCCCCAUGCCCCAGCUACAGAGAUCAUCUUUAGGCUCCGUGCCCCACAAUGUGCCACGGAGACAGCCUGCUGAAAAAAACCCAAAAUCACAGAUGCCACUUGGAGCCAGAGUCAAUUGCCCAAGAUGGCAGAGCACACACGGCACCUGAGUCACUCGCCCAAGAUGACAGAGCGCAGGAGGCAGCUUGGGAGGGGAGAGACACCAUGCCAGCCAAGUAGAGGAAGCGACCAGAGUCACUCCCGUCGUGGCACCUGGGACUCUAUCCAGUUCGCACACCAAAUCCCAGAAACAUCAUAGUGCAAAAAAGCAGUCGAGAAGCUGGCAGCCCCCCUGCAAGAGCCAUCCCAGCACCACGCUCACCUGCGCCAUGUGUGGAACUGCUGGCGCCCGGGGCUGCAGGCUGCCGCAUACUGCCACAUCUGCAGUUGGGACUCAAGAAACCUGGAAAAACUGAUGCAAUCAGUGCCGCAGUCAGUGCCUGAACAGGGACUGAGAGACCCAGCCAGUGUGAGCAACACUCGGGACCACGGGACAUCACAUCAUGCCAGUUGUGAACAGCCCUGGACUCCAGCAGAGCAAAGCGGUACCGCCCACCGCCACCAACAAACUGUGUUGCAUGGCAACCACAGGCAGCAAUGAUAUCGACCCUUUCUACGUCUCCAGCCAACAACUUUAACCUGUGACAUGCUAGCCUGAAGGAUUGUGAUAUUUGGUGGUUUUGCUCCCAGACCUAAAUGUUGCAGCUCCAGUGAUACAUGGAGCAUACCCCUGGCUGGAGGAGUUAGGUUUGUCAAAGAAACUCCCCCGCCCCUCUCUGUACCGCUGGAUUCUCAGAGGCACCUACCACUACUUUUACUGCUCCCUUUUCUGCAAGAGCAAGAAGAGCUGCUGGAACACGCUGCACAGCAGCUGAAAUAGGAAACAUCCCGGGAUACAGCAUCCUUCAGCUCACCCAACAAAAAAUCUGCUCAAAUUCAAAGGGCUGGCAGUGAACAAGAUAUUACAAAAACAUAUUUCCUGUGCAUGAGCACAGCAAACAGCAUAGUACAAAACUCAUGAUACAUCACCGUAUGGCUUCUGCCAUAUUAUUUUUGCUAAUAAUGUAAAACAACAUGCACUAUGGUAGCUGCAACAAUCACAAUGCCACUACAGCCUGUUUGUGUCAGGAUUAAAGUGGCUUCUUAUUAAUUA